CCCAGACUCCUACGGGAGGCAGCAGUGGGGAAUAUUGCACAAUGGGGGAAACCCUGAUGCAGCGACGCCGCGUGGAGGAAGAAGGUCUUCGGAUUGUAAACUCCUGUUGUUGAGGAAGAUAAUGACGGUACUCAACAAGGAAGUGACGGCUAACUACGUGCCAGCAGCCGCGGUAAAACGUAGGUCACAAGCGUUGUCCGGAAUUACUGGGUGUAAAGGGAGCGCAGGCGGGAAGACAAGUUGGAAGUGAAAUCCAUGGGCUCAACCCAUGAACUGCUUUCAAAACUGUUUUUCUUGAGUAGUGCAGAGGUAGGCGGAAUUCCCGGUGUAGCGGUGGAAUGCGUAGAUAUCGGGAGGAACACCAGUGGCGAAGGCGGCCUACUGGGCACCAACUGACGCUGAGGCUCGAAAGUGUGGGUAGCAAACAGGAUUAGAUACCCUGGUAGUCCACACCGUAAACGAUGAUUACUAGGUGUUGGAGGAUUGACCCCUUCAGUGCCGCAGUUAACACAAUAAGUAAUCCACCUGGGGAGUACGACCGCAAGGUUGAAACUCAAAGGAAUUGACGGGGGCCCGCACAAGCAGUGGAGUAUGUGGUUUAAUUCGACGCAACGCGAAGAACCUUACCAAGUCUUGACAUCCUGCGACGGUGCUAGAAAUAUUAUUUUCCUUCGGGACGCAGAGACAGGUGGUGCAUGGUUGUCGUCAGCUCGUGUCGUGAGAUGUUGGGUUAAGUCCCGCAACGAGCGCAACCCUUAUGGUCAGUUACUACGCAAGAGGACUCUGGCCAGACUGCCGUUGACAAAACGGAGGAAGGUGGGGAUGACGUCAAAUCAUCAUGCCCUUUAUGACUUGGGCUACACACGUACUACAAUGGCGUUAAACAAAGAGAAGCAAGACCGCGAGGUGGAGCAAAACUCAGAAACAACGUCCCAGUUCGGACUGCAGGCUGCAACUCGCCUGCACGAAGUCGGAAUUGCUAGUAAUCGUGGAUCAG
rnacentral:rRNA from 1 species